rnacentral:rRNA from 1 species
AGAGCGAACGCUGGCGGCAGGCUUAACACAUGCAAGUCGAACGAGAAAGUGGAGCAAUCCAUGAGUAAAGUGGCGACCGGGUGAGUAACACGUGACUAACCUACCUUCGAGUGGGGGAUAACCUCGGGAAACCGGGCUAAUACCGCAUAACAUCUUUGAAGUGGAAAUUUCGGAGAUCAAAGGAGCAAUUCGCUUGAAGAGGGGUCGCGGCUGAUUAGCUAGUUGCGGGUAACGCCCACAAGGCUUAGAUCGGUA